GUAGGGCGGGACACGUGGUAUCCUGUCUGAAUAUGGGGGGACCAUCCUCCAAGGCUAAAUACUCCUGACUGACCGAUAGUGAACCAGUACCGUGAGGGAAAGGCGAAAAGAACCCCGGCGAGGGGAGUGAAAAAGAACCUGAAACCGUGUACGUACAAGCAGUGGGAGCACCCUUUGGGUGUGACUGCGUACCUUUUGUAUAAUGGGUCAGCGACUUAUAUUCUGUAGCAAGGUUAACCGAAUAGGGGAGCCGGAGGGAAACCGAGUCUUAACCGGGCGUUAAGUUGCAGGGUAUAGACCCGAAACCCGGUGAUCUAGCCAUGGGCAGGUUGAAGGUUGGGUAACACUAACUGGAGGACCGAACCGACUAAUGUUGAAAAAUUAGCGGAUGACCUGUGGCUGGGGGUGAAAGGCCAAUCAAACCGGGAGAUAGCUGGUUCUCCCCGAAAGCUAUUUAGGUAGCGCCUCGUGAAUUCAUCUCCGGGGGUAGAGCACUGUUUCGGCUAGGGGGCCAUCCCGGCUUACCAACCCGAUGCAAACUGCGAAUACCGGAGAAUGUUAUCACGGGAGACACACGGCGGGUGCUAACGUCCGUCGUGAAGAGGGAAACAACCCAGACCGCCAGCUAAGGUCCCAAAGUCAUGGUUAAGUGGGAAACGAUGUGGGAAGGCCCAGACAGCCAGGAUGUUGGCUUAGAAGCAGCCAUCAUUUAAAGAAAGCGUAAUAGCUCACUGGUCGAGUCGGCCUGCGCGGAAGAUGUAACGGGGCUAAACCAUG
rnacentral:rRNA from 1 species